rnacentral:lncRNA from 13 species
CCAAAACCGAGUAUGAAGAUACUUUCUUCCAAGGUUUUUAUCAUUUUAGCUCUUACAUUUAAGUUUUUUUAGUAAAGAAUGAAGAAGUGUCCAAAUUCAUUCUUUUUCAUGUGAAUAGUUGGUUAUCUUAAUCUCAUUUGUUGAAAAAAAAUUCUUUCUCCAAUGAAUUGUGAACUUUGUCAAAAAUUGAUACAUUGUAAUAGCCAAGAUUUGGAAAGAAUGUAAAUGUUUAUUGAUGGGUGAAUGCUUUUUAAAAUGUGGCAUAUAAAUAUAAUGGAAUAUUAUUCAGCUUUAGAAAAGAGAAUCCUGCAAUAUGCAACAACAUGGAUGAACAUUGAAGACAUUAUGCUAAAUAAAAUAUGCCAGGUAAAAGAUGAUGCAUCUCCUGCUUACCACCAUUGCUACAAGAUGGAUACAUAAUUUCCCCCAAAAUUUUCAUCUACAGUAAAAUCUCUUAACAAUCAAACAAAAAAAAUCUCCUUUUGAAACUGUGCAAAAUAAAAAAGGUCAUUAUUAUAUUUUGCCUUGUAUA